UUUCCGUAGGUGAACCUGCGGAAGGAUCAUUCCAAAUCAAAACUUGUAAAUUAUCCCGGCGUCCUUGCAGGCAAAGGGUUAGUUUGCACCUCAAUCUACGCUCCAAUUUUACAACCUUAUUUCUCUUUCCACGGCGGUGCUGUUUGCCCGUCCAAUCAAAGAUUUCUUUUCCUUUUCUAUUAUGUAAAGGAUCAUGACGGUGGAUACAUUGGUUUCU
rnacentral:misc_RNA from 1 species